AAGAGGACGGGAGUGCUAUAUGGUCAAUGGAUCCAUUUUCAACGAAAAAAUUCAAACAAUCUAUAAGCAAGUUUUCUAUCACUUAUUAAGCUUACUAGAUGAUCAGGAUUUGUUUUUUCCAUAGAUGAAUUUAUUCAGGAAAAAAAAAAAACAGGAGCUAAUCCCAGCUGCAUAACUGAAACACAAGAUUCAAUGCAAUCUUGAAUCAAAAUAGACCCUCAUGAUAGCCAAUCUAGAGCAGAAUAAGCUGUCUAAUAGCAACCUUGCGCAAAGGAAAAUAAUGAAAUUUAUUUGUGACAGACAAGACAAUACUACUUGGAGAACACCACUGAUUAUUAUACAGUAUAGCAUUUUUGUUCCAUCCAAGAAAAAUAAAGGCAGGGCACACCAAGAUAUUCUCACGAUACCUGAAAUGAAAGAACUAUCCAGUCGCUUUUGUUAAGCCCACCGAAAUUCUUGAUCACAUCCUCCAACGUGCUUGUAGAUAUAACACCUCAAUCCAUUUUUCCUUGACAAAAUGGCAAUCAAAGAAAGUGUGAUUUCUACUUUCGUUGGCUUGCUUACAAAGAAGACGAUAAGGAACAAUGAUUGUUCCUCUGCUAAUUUGUCUGUCUUUGAAGGACAGCUUCUUUAGAAUGACGUCAGGCGGUAAACCUUUAUUUGGGAACGAAAAGGAGCUCCAUUGGCUUGUGGACCUAUCAACUAUAUUGAAGGGCGAAGGUCUGUCAUGGAGAACAGGAGAAGGGGGCGAGUGACCCAUUCAACGUCUUUGAACUUCCCACUGGAGUCCUUUUAUAUAUAUUUUAAUCUUUU
rnacentral:lncRNA from 1 species